UACGUAGGUGGCGAGCGUUGUCCGGAUUUAUUGGGCGUAAAGGGCGCGCAGGUGGUGCGGUAAGACUGCCGUGAAAUCUCCCGGCUCAACUGGGAGGGGGCGGUGGAGACUGCCGGACUAGAGGCACUCAGAGGCCGGUGGAAUUCCCGGUGUAGUGGUGAAAUGCGUAGAGAUCGGGAGGAACACCAGUGGCGAAGGCGGCCGGCUGGGGGUGACCUGACGCUGAGGCG
rnacentral:rRNA from 1 species